GAACCUCAAUCCUCAGAUCUCAGCCUCCUUAGUUACUAGGAUUACAGGUAUAAGCCACUGACAUCUGGUGCAAACAGUUUUUGGAAACAGAAAAACAUCUUAUUUGACAGCAAAAGGGAGUAAAUGGUUUGAAUAAAGACCUAAUCACUAAUUAAUCCACAUGGAAAGUUUUCCUAAUUUUCUUUGUAAUGAAAGCUGAGAAGGUAUUAGCCAUCUUAACCUGAGCCAUACUAAUCCUACUUGCUUUUCUAAAUAUAAUAAAAACAGCAGACAGUCUCAAAGUACAUUAUUAAUUAGACAUGAUUAAAAGUUAGUUUCAUUAUCUCAUUUACCUUUGGAGUUUCCAGACAUUAAUAAUCACCAAAAAGUUCUCACUGAUUUAUAAUAUGUAUUAUCACAUCAUGACCCUAAAACUCUGGGCCUCAAAGAACAAGGCAUAAAUAUGCUUUAGACACCUAUCUGUAAUCACAGAAGAAAACAAUUAGGAUUCACCUAAUUGGAGUGAGUCUCCAGGUUCAUUUCAUUCCAUUCCAAGUUACUGGUACUGUUUUUCCUAUGUCCAAAGCUCCAUGUAGAGAAAGUUCUUAGAAUUAAAACACUUUUGAAGAUGUAUAGCUUAGCUUGAUCCUGGGACAUCUAGGGUAAACAUUUUAUGGUAUUGCACAGUAACAAAAGUUUACAGCCAUAGAUAACACAGGAUCUGAUCUGCAGGAACACACUUGGGGUUUAAGGCUGACAUCGGAAAGCAACCAUUUCUGGAACAGUUGUCAAUUAGCUUUACACAGUGU